AAUUCUACUUCUCAUGGAAGAUUUAUUUUAUUCUUCCCUCUAUUUGAAGGUUAAGAGCAAGGGUUCUGGCAUCUGAUCUGGGUCCAGUCCUGGCUUCACCAUUUAUUACCUCUGUGAUCUCAGGCAAGCCUACUUCCCCACCUACAAAACAGGGAUACCACAGUCCCCAGGUAAGGAUCACAGGAGAAAACAUGGGCAAAGCCAUUGGCACAGUGCCUGGCACAUAAUAUAUGCUCAAUAAAACCCAAGUUGCUAUUAUCAUUUUACUAGUAGGAAACAGCCUCCCCAAGCCUCCCAGCUCCACAAACACCCAUCAACUCACUAGCACCCUCCUUCUGACUUCUUCAGCCAGAAGAAGCAACUAUUGCAAGUUGGUAUAGCAACUAUACCAACUAUAGCAAGGGAGAGAGGGAGGGUCAUUUCAUUCAAACACAGUUUCAGGUAUGUGUGGACUAGUUUGAAGAAAAGUGGAGGCCUGAGAAGUUAAGUAGACUAGUCAAAAGGUUUCUGUGACAGGAAUUUCAACUGCAGGGUCUUGUGAUCAACCUUCCCAAUUCCUCCAUCAUGAACACUUGGGGUAUCAGGGAGGGCAGUCAAGCUGAGGGAAUAGCAGGAUGAGGGCUCAGAGGUAGGAAAGGGCCUGGUAUGUUUGAGGGGGUGGGUGAUCUAUAGGCCAUGGAAGGUGCAGAAGAGGCAGGAGGUGUAGUUCGGGGCCCAGUUAAGAAAAAGGCUUGAGGCCAGGCGCUGUGACUCACGCCUGCAAUUCCAGCACUUUGGGAAGCCAAGGUGGGAGGACGGCUUGAGACCAGGAGUUCAAGAACAGCCUGGGCAACAUAGCGAGAUCUCCA
rnacentral:lncRNA from 1 species